rfam:Sporomusa sphaeroides DSM 2875 SPSPH_contig000002, whole genome shotgun sequence.
UUUAUGGAGAGUUUGAUCCUGGCUCAGGACGAACGCUGGCGGCGUGCCUAACACAUGCAAGUCGAACGGAGUAUUUAGCAAUAAAUACUUAGUGGCGAACGGGUGAGUAACGCGUAGACAACCUGCCUCUAAACUGGGGACAACACCGCGAAAGUGGUGCUAAUACCGAAUGUGGUAACUUGGCUGCAUGGCUAAGUUAAGAAAGAUGGCCUCUACAUGUAAGCUAUCGUUUAGAGAUGGGUCUGCGUCUGAUUAGCUAGUUGGUGAGGUAAAGGCUCACCAAGGCGACGAUCAGUAGCCGGUCUGAGAGGAUGAACGGCCACACUGGGACUGAGACACGGCCCAGACUCCUACGGGAGGCAGCAGUGGGGAAUCUUCCGCAAUGGACGAAAGUCUGACGGAGCAACGCCGCGUGAGUGAAGAAGGUCUUCGGAUUGUAAAGCUCUGUCGUUUGGGACGAACGUGGAUUGUGUGAAUAAUGCAAUCUAAUGACGGUACCAAAGGAGGAAGCCACGGCUAACUACGUGCCAGCAGCCGCGGUAAUACGUAGGUGGCAAGCGUUG